AUUGAACGCUGGCGGCAGGCUUAACACAUGCAAGUCGAGCGGGGGAAGGUAGCUUGCUACCGGACCCAGCGGCGGACGGGCGAGUAAUGCUUAGGAAUCUGCCUAUUAGUGGGGGACAACAUCUCGAAAGGGAUGCUAAUACCGCAUACGUCCUACGGGAGAAAGCAGGGGAUCUUCGGACCUUGCGCUAAUAGAUGAGCCUAAGUCGGAUUAGCUAGUUGGUGGGGUAAAGGCCUACCAAGGCGACGAUCUGUAGCGGGUCUGAGAGGAUGAUCCGCCACACUGGGACUGAGACACGGCCCAGACUCCUACGGGAGGCAGCAGUGGGGAAUAUUGGACAAUGGGGGGAACCCUGAUCCAGCCAUGCCGCGUGUGUGAAGAAGGCCUUAUGGUUGUAAAGCACUUUAAGCGAGGAGGAGGCUACUUUAGUUAAUACCUAGAGAUAGUGGACGUUACUCGCAGAAUAAGCACCGGCUAACUCUGUGCCAGCCGCCGCCGUAA
rnacentral:rRNA from 1 species